UGGGGCGUAGCCAAGCGGUAAGGCAACGGGUUUUGUCCGCUAUUCGGAGUUCGAAUCCUUCCGUCCCAG
rnacentral:tRNA from 1 species